rnacentral:rRNA from 1 species
GACGAACGCUGGCGGCGUGCCUAAUACAUGCAAGUCGAACGAACUCUGGUAUUGAUUGGUGCUUGCAUCAUGAUUUACAUUUGAGUGAGUGGCGAACUGGUGAGUAACACGUGGGAAACCUGCCCAGAAGCGGGGGAUAACACCUGGAAACAGAUGCUAAUACCGCAUAACAACUUGGACCGCAUGGUCCGAGUUUGAAAGAUGGCUUCGGCUAUCACUUUUGGAUGGUCCCGCGGCGUAUUAGCUAGAUGGUGAGGUAACGGCUCACCAUGGCAAUGAUACGUAGCCGACCUGAGAGGGUAAUCGGCCACAUUGGGACUGAGACACGGCCCAAACUCCUACGGGAGGCAGCAGUAGGGAAUCUUCCACAAUGGACGAAAGUCUGAUGGAGCAACGCCGCGUGAGUGAAGAAGGGUUUCGGCUCGUAAAACUCUGUUGUUAAAGAAGAACAUAUCUGAGAGUAACUGUUCAGGUAUUGACGGUAUUUUACCAGAAAGCCACGGCUAACUACGUGCCAGCAGCCGCGGUAAUACGUAGGUGGCAAGCGUUGUCCGGAUUUAUUGGGCGUAAAGCGAGCGCAGGCGGUUUUUUAAGUCUGAUGUGAAAGCCUUCGGCUCAACCGAAGAAGUGCAUCGGAAACUGGGAAACUUGAGUGCAGAAGAGGACAGUGGAACUCCAUGUGUAGCGGUGAAAUGCGUAGAUAUAUGGAAGAACACCAGUGGCGAAGGCGGCUGUCUGGUCUGUAACUGACGCUGAGGCUCGAAAGUAUGGGUAGCAAACAGGAUUAGAUACCCUGUAGUCCAUACCGUAAACGAUGAAUGCUAAGUGUUGGAGGGUUUCCGCCCUUCAGUGCUGCAGCUAACGCAUUAAGCAUUCCGCCUGGGGAGUACGGCCGCAAGGCUGAAACUCAAAGGAAUUGACGGGGGCCCGCACAAGCGGUGGAGCAUGUGGUUUAAUUCGAAGCUACGCGAAGAACCUUACCAGGUCUUGACAUACUAUGCAAAUCUAAGAGAUUAGACGUUCCCUUCGGGGACAUGGAUACAGGUGGUGCAUGGUUGUCGUCAGCUCGUGUCGUGAGAUGUUGGGUUAAGUCCCGCAACGAGCGCAACCCUUAUUAUCAGUUGCCAGCAUUAAGUUGGGCACUCUGGUGAGACUGCCGGUGACAAACCGGAGGAAGGUGGGGAUGACGUCAAAUCAUCAUGCCCCUUAUGACCUGGGCUACACACGUGCUACAAUGGAUGGUACAACGAGUUGCGAACUCGCGAGAGUAAGCUAAUCUCUUAAAGCCAUUCUCAGUUCGGAUUGUAGGCUGCAACUCGCCUACAUGAAGUCGGAAUCGCUAGUAAUCGCGGAUCAGCAUGCCGCGGUGAAUACGUUCCCGGGCCUUGUACACACCGCCCGUCACACCAUGAGAGUUUGUAACACCCAAAGUCGGUGGGGUAACCUUUUAGGAACCAGCCGCCUAAGGUGGGACAGAUGAUUAGGGUGAAG